GCAUCAAAAGGAACUGCCAGCAAAAAGGACAAUUCCAUUCCUUUAUAAUUAUUUACGUCUUUCAUGUUCAAGAAUUGCACAAAAUUUUACAAUUCACUUACACUUUCAUUCGUAUAGGAUAAUAAAGUCAUUUUCUCUCUUUUCUCGUUCACCAACGAAGUGCAGCAGCAUGUAAUUGAAGGUUUUAUUGCUACAAAAAAAUUUCUCAAGUUCUUUAAAAGUCAAGUUCAUUCUAGAUCAAACAUAGUUGUGUUCCUCCAUCGAUUUCAUGAUUAUAACUUCGGUCCCCUCCAAAUCUUAGCAAGUUCGGGAUCACUCUGGGUUGAAGUUGAAGCUUUCUUCUUGGUGAAGUAUCCUAAGAUUAAGGUUAAUCUGGUGCGAUUGAGGAUUGGCAUACUAGUUACGACGAGUUCGUUGUUGGAUCGUAUUGGCAACACGAGGUACCGGUAGACGGAUUGGUGUACCUUUCUCAGUAGGAUACCAGAGUUCAGCAGGAAUGUUCGCACUCCAUUCUCCGGAGUUCCUAGUCAGAGUCAUCAAAUAGGAUGCAUGCAUAUAUAUAUAUAUAUAUAUAUAUAUAUAUAUAUAUAGUAUGGCUAUAGCUACAUCGGGGACACUGUCCCGACCAGUUGAUGCAUAUUAGUGCUCUUAGAGGCUUACAGACUAUCAGUCAGUGUACAGGUAUUGUGUUUGGCCUUGCCGGCCUUCUGACUAGUUGUUUUUCUUGGUUGUGGCAUUGUCGGCCCUAGUUAUGCAUAUAUGUGUUGUUGGGCCUUUCUACUUGCAGGUUUUCAUGAUAUACUUUUUACAAUUGUUAUUCAGUGGCCUUGUCGGCCUAUGAUUCAUGUUACAGAGUUCAAAUAUCACAGUUGGUUCGCUCGGCCCUUCCGGUGCUGGGUGCCGGCCACACCCCCCAAGGUUGGGGUGUGACAAACGAUAUAUGAUUUUUAUUAUAAUUAAUGCUCAAAUGAACUACAUUUUUCAUUAUCAAAUUUUAAUUGAAAUGAAAGAAACAGAUUUAAAAGGAAAAUUUUCACCUUCAAAUUGGUGUGUUUGUUUGGGUUGUAACUUUUAAUACAUGAUUUUCU